ACUCCUACGGGAGGCAGCAGUGGGGAAUAUUGCACAAUGGGGGAAACCCUUGGUGCAGCGACGUCCGCUUGAGUGAAGAAGUUCUUCGGUAUGUAAAACUCUUCAGCAGGGAAGAAAUGACGUACCU
rnacentral:rRNA from 1 species